CCUACGGGAGGCAGCAGUGGGGAAUAUUGGUCAAUGGACGAGAGUCUGAACCAGCAAAGUCGCGUGAAGGAUGACUGCUCUCUGGGUUGUAACCUUCUUUUAUAAAGAAAUAAAACGAGGCACGUGUGCAUUUUUGCAUCUACUUUAUGAAUACGGACCGGCUAACUCCGUGCCAGCAGCCGCGGUAAUACGGAGGAUCCGAGCCUUAUCCGGAUUUAUUGGGUGUAAAGGGAGCGUAGAUGGGUUGUUAAGUCAGUUGUGAAUGUUUGCGGCUCAAACGUAAAAUUGCAAGUGAUACUGGCAGUCUUGAGUACAGUUGAGGUGGGCGGAAUUCGUGGUGUAGCGGUGAAAUGCGUAGAUAUCACGAAGAACCCCGAUUGCGAAGGCGGCUUACUAGACUGUGACUGACAUUGAUGCUCGAAAGUGUGGGUAUCAAACAGGAUUAGAUACCCCGGUAGUC
rnacentral:rRNA from 1 species